UCUACACAUGUUGCUUAGAUUUUACACAUGAUGAUGAAGACAAAUUUCAGCUUCAGAAGCAGAGCUUUACAUUACAUCAUGAAAGAAAUGCAGCUUACCUGCACUGCCAGACAAACAUUGAUGCCACCUAUCAGCAGAGUUAAUCUGCAGAGGCACAAACCUGAGCCCUCGCCUCCAAGAGUCCGUUCGGAUAAGCAGGCUCUCCCAACGAUGUAUGGCCGUCACGCGGGUCACAGCGAGUCUCUGGUUUCACAGAGGGCAGUCUUCAUGCCGAAAUGUACAGCUCAUACAGAGCUCCUGUGGGAGGGGUAUGGGAUUCAGCCUGAGGAGGUGAGUACAAGGAAGGGUUUAAGCAUUUCACGGUUAGACCGGCAUCUGUAACACGUGAUGGCAGGCGAGGGAGCACAGGGCAGGAAGCCUGCUGUCAGAGGAGCGGUGUCUGCGCUUGGUUACCAAGCUCCACUCUUGUCCACACAUCCUUUGGGCAGGAUGGUUGAGGGAAUAGUAAACACUUGUAUUUUCCUAUGGAUUGAUUUAAAAAGCAUUUAGUGUGAUCCUAUGUUUGUCAAUGAGGUAUCCCCAAGCAGAGUGCGUGCUUGGCUGCCCCUGUACUGAGGAGGGCUUAAUGAAGCUGAUAGGAACAGUACUCGUGGCUUUUCUGGAUCCAACCUUUCAUUUCUGGAGACACAUCAGCCUGAAUCUUCUUGAGGUUGCAGUCACUGCAGCCAUGCCUGGGAAUGCAACUGUGCUUUUCCAAGAUCAGGCUCCUGUGAGCAGAGAGGGAGGCAGCUGAGUGGGUGUCCAGGAUUGCUCAGUUUGGUUUUCCAUUGUUAGUAUCCCAUCUUUCCUGUGCAUCCAUUGUCUAAUUGAGUUCUUGCUGCACAUUGCAGACAUUCAUCAUUACAAUGGAUCUAACGCAUUCACACACUGUCACAGACUAAAUCUGGUUCUGCAUGGUUGGCUUUAUGGUGGUACAUUUUUCAGUGAAGAUAAGAGCUUUUAAUGAUGAAGCAGAGAGUAUUAAAAAAUAGAAUUUACUGCAUUAAAGAUCUGUUCAGCUUUUACCUCCAAAUUCUGCCAUCUUCACUACUUUGUUUAAUAUUUUACUUCACUGCUGUGUCCAGUCCUUUUUCCUCUGAAGUCCUGGUGACUGCAGUGGGAAUGGGAAUGGGAAUAGAAACAAUGACAGGACACCUUCCUGCCAAGAGAGUCAUCCCAGUUUAUGCUCUAUGGAAAUGAGUGAGGGAUGCAGAAGCCUCAAAGGAUGGUUCAUGGUGCUUUUGGUGUGACCACUGAAGAAAGAGGAGACAUAAGCCACGGUACUGAAGUAGAUAAAUGGACUGAGAUAAUGAGACUGCAGUAACCAGAGGAAUACAGGAAUUGUGAAAAGAACAUUCAUAAAGAUGAUGUAGCUGAACAAAUGCAGCUUAAAGAACCAACGAUGGAGGAAUACCACUGUUUCUCUUUCAAAUAAAAAAGCUGUCUUGGGCUGAUGUGAACAAGAGAGAAGACAGACUUUUGAGACAACCAAAUUCAUCACCCCUUCAUUCUAACUUUGAAAUCCCACUGGAAGCAAAGUUAGAAAAAAUUACCCUAGUUUUUUCAUUACAUUCUCCUGGCUAAAAACCUACCAUGAAUUUCUGUGAAAUGGUUUGAAAAGGCAGUGGUAUAUGAAAAUUGUCAAAUCUACUUAGUAAUUUGGGUGUUUGUAUAAUUUUUUUUUCCCCAGUGUUGACUAUC